rnacentral:lncRNA from 1 species
CCCCGCCUAACCGUCUAUCGACUUAAGGCCAAGCUUUGAGGAUAUCUGGCCAAAUUCUUCAUUUUCUACCCGAUGCACACAGGGGCGGAUCUACCUUAUGAGGUAAGGGUACCACGGCACCCGCUCGCUUCGCUAAAAUUUUUACUAUGUACAUAAUAUCUCUGUGAAGAAACAUAUAUAUGAAUAGAGUGGCACCCAAAAGUCACGAAGUGAAAGCGGGUGCCAUUGGUUCAGCCUUCCCUUUGGAGGCUUUCUUUGGCCUCAUGAAUGCAAGUUCGAUAAGAUUUCCUUUAUUUUCAGUUGAGCCUAAGGCCUCACCUCUUCUUCUUCUUUUUCGGCUCUUUCCCUCCUUUUCUUCCUUUUAUUACAUGCUAAGUCUCUCUUCUUCAUUUGUUUAGAGCACGAAAGAACAAUGGUGCGAGGCAGCAAAAUUCUAGCGCCCAGAACGCCGCAAGGCAAUGAAAUUUCACCACCCGGAACACCACGAGGCUGAGCCAGGCGCGCCAAUGCAUCCGGGCUCCAUAGCGUGAGGCGAUACAUUUUGAGGGCCGCACAUGGCGCGACGCAGUGGCGUGUCCAUCCGAAGUUGUUUCGUUUUCUUCUCAGUUUUGGACUUGGUUACUUCACCCUAGACUUUACCCUACCUUAUAAAUACCACUAAACUUGUUUUUGAGGGGUUGAACAUAUUUUGGUGGCAACAAGGGCUGCGACGCACUGUGAGGCACAAAAUCGUAGCAUUUUUCUUCCCUUUAACUAGUAUUUAUAGUUUUAUGCUUUCAAACACUAUUGUGAUUGAUCAUAUAACUAUGAGUGGCUAAACUCCCGUGUGCUGGAGUUAUGGGGAGUUCUUGAUUGUUGACAUUGAACGGUUGC